rnacentral:rRNA from 1 species
AACGAACGCUGGCGGCAGGCCUAACACAUGCAAGUCGAGCGCGCCCUUCGGGGUGAGUGGCGGACGGGUGAGUAACGCGUGGGAACGUGCCCUUUUCUACGGAAUAGCCUCGGGAAACUGAGAGUAAUACCGUAUACGCCCUUUGGGGGAAAGAUUUAUCGGAAAAGGAUCGGCCCGCGUUGGAUUAGGUAGUUGGUGGGGUAAUGGCCUACCAAGCCGACGAUCCAUAGCUGGUUUGAGAGGAUGAUCAGCCACACUGGGACUGAGACACGGCCCAGACUCCUACGGGAGGCAGCAGUGGGGAAUCUCAGACAAUGGGGGCAACCCUGAUCUAGCCAUGCCGCGUGAGUGAUGAAGGCCUUAGGGUUGUAAAGCUCUUUCAGCUGGGAAGAUAAUGACGGUACCAGCAGAAGAAGCCCCGGCUAACUCCGUG